GACGAACGCUGGCGGCGUGCUUAACACAUGCAAGUCGAACGGAAAGGCCCUGCUUUUGUGGGGUGCUCGAGUGGCGAACGGGUGAGUAACACGUGAGUAACCUGCCCUUGACUUUGGGAUAACUUCAGGAAACUGGGGCUAAUACCGGAUAGGAGCUCCUGCUGCAUGGUGGGGGUUGGAAAGUCUCGGCGGUUGGGGAUGGACUAGCGGCUUAUCAGCUUGUUGGUGGGGUAGUGGCUUACCAAGGCUGUGACGGGUAGCCGGCCUGAGAGGGUGACCGGCCACAUGGGGACUGAGAUACGGACCAGACUCCUACGGGAGGCAGAAGUGGGGAAUAUUGCACAAUGGGCGGGAGCCUGAUGCAGCGACGCCGCGUGCGGGAUGACGGCCUUCGGGUUGUAAACCGCUUUCGCCUGUGACGAAGCGUGAGUGACGGUAAUGGGUAAAGAAGCACCGGCUAACUACGUG
rnacentral:rRNA from 1 species